rnacentral:rRNA from 1 species
AACGAACGCUGCCGGUAUGCUUAACACAUGCAAGUCGAACGAACAAAAUUGGGGCUUGCUCCAAUUUUAGUGAGUGGCAAACGGGUGAGUAACACGUGGGAAUCUACCUAUCAGUACGGAAUAACAUUUGGAAACAGAUGCUAAUACCGUAUAUUCUCCAAGGAGGAAAGAUUUAUCGCUGAUAGAUGAGCCCGCGCAAGAUUAGGUAGUUGGUAGGGUAAUGGCCUACCAAGCCGACGAUCUUUAGCUGGUCUGAGAGGAUGAUCAGCCACACUGGGACUGAGACACGGCCCAGACUCCUACGGGAGGCAGCAGUGGGGAAUAUUGGACAAUGGGCGAAAGCCUGAUCCAGCAAUACCGCGUGAAUGAUGAAGGCCUUAGGGUUGUAAAGUUCUUUUAGUUGGAAAGAUAAUGACGGUACCAACAGAAAAAGCCCCGGCUAACUCCGUGCCAGCCGCCGCGGUAA